CCUACGGGGGGCUGCAGUGGGGAAUAUUGGACAAUGGGGGGAACCCUGAUCCAGCCAUGCCGCGUGUGUGAAGAAGGCCCUCGGGUUGUAAAGCACUUUCAGUGAGGAAGAACGCCUGGUGGUUAAUACCCAUCAGGAAAGACAUCACUCACAGAAGAAGCACCGGCUAACUCCGUGCCAGCAGCCGCGGUAAUAUGGAGGGUGCGAGCGUUAAUCGGAAUUACUGGGCGUAAAGCGCGCGUAGGUGGCUUGAUAAGCCGGUUGUGAAAGCCCCGGGCUCAACCUGGGAACGGCAUCCGGAACUGUCAAGCUAGAGUGCAGGAGAGGAAGGUAGAAUUCCCGGUGUAGCGGUGAAAUGCGUAGAGAUCGGGAGGAAUACCAGUGGCGAAGGCGGCCUUCUGGACUGACACUGACACUGAGGUGCGAAAGCGUGGGUAGCAAACAGGAUUAGAUACCCUUGUAGUC
rnacentral:rRNA from 1 species